UUCUCCCUGCCAUAUCCAUCAUUGCUCGAUCUUUUCCUAGCUAAUUUUUUUUCUCCAUCCUGCCCAAUAGGAGUCCUAGCAUAUGCCUGUUUGUGGCCUAAGGCAUGAUUCGCGGCCAUCCUGUCAGGAGAACCUCCAUUGGAGUUGUUGUCACCAAUUAUCUAUUCUGCCAACCCUGAUUGAGGUGGACCCUCACUAGAAGGAGGAGGAGCUCACAAGCCUCCAUAUUAUUCCUUUCAAGGGGAGCUCGCACCCCACCAAUUUUAGCACAAGUUGUGGGCCACACUAUUAUCAAUCAAUAUCAUUGUUUCCAUAUGAAUAGGGGCGAGAG
rnacentral:lncRNA from 1 species